rnacentral:rRNA from 1 species
CCUACGGGUCGCACCAGUGGGGAAUAUUGCACAAUGGGCGCAAGCCUGAUGCAGCCAUGCCGCGUGUACGAAGAAGGCCUUCGGGUUGUAAAGUACUUUCAGCGGGGGGGAAGGUGUUGUGGUUAAUAACCACAGCAAUUGACGUUACCCGCAGAAGAAGCACCGGCUAACUCCGUGCCAGCAGCCGCGGUAAUACGGAGGGUGCAAGCGUUAAUCGGAAUUACUGGGCGUAAAGCGCACGCAGGCGGUCCGUCAAGUCGGAUGUGAAAUCCCCGGGCUCAACCUGGGAACUGCAUUCGAAACUGGCAGGCUAGAGUCUUGUAGAGGGGGGUAGAAUUCCAGGUGUAGCGGUGAAAUGCGUAGAGAUCUGGAGGAAUACCGGUGGCGAAGGCGGCCCCCUGGACAAAGACUGACGCUCGGGUGCGAAAGCGUGGGGAGCAAACAGGAUUAGAUACCCCGGUAGUC